GACGGGGGGGGCAAGUGUUCUUCGGAAUGACUGGGCGUAAAGGGCACGUAGGCGGUGAGUCGGGUUGAAAGUGAAAGUCGCCAAAAAGUGGCGGAAUGCUCUCGAAACCAAUUCACUUGAGUGAGACAGAGGAGAGUGGAAUUUCGUGUGUAGGGGUGAAAUCCGUAGAUCUACGAAGGAACGCCAAAAGCGAAGGCAGCUCUCUGGGUCCCUACCGACGCCGGGGUGCGAAAGCAUGGGGAGCGAACAGG
rnacentral:rRNA from 1 species